rnacentral:rRNA from 1 species
UACGUAGGGUGCAAGCGUUGUCCGGAAUUAUUGGGCGUAAAGAGCUCGUAGGCGGUCUGUUGCGUCGGCUGUGAAAACCCGGGGCUCAACCCCGGGCCUGCAGCCGAUACGGGCAGACUGGAGUUCGGCAGGGGAGACUGGAAUUCCUGGUGUAGCGGUGAAAUGCGCAGAUAUCAGGAGGAACACCGGUGGCGAAGGCGGGUCUCUGGGCAGUAACUGACGCUGAGGAGCGAAAAGCGUGGGGGAGCGAACAGG